rnacentral:rRNA from 1 species
UACAGAGGUGGCAAGCGUUGUUCGGAAUUACUGGGCGUAAAGGGCUUGUAGGUGGCCAACUAAGUCAGACGUGAAAUCCCUCGGCUUAACCGGGGAACUGCGUCUGAUACUGGAUGGCUUGAGUGUGGGAGAGGGAUGCGGAAUUCCAGGUGUAGCGGUGAAAUGCUUAGAUAUGACAUAGAACACCAAUUGCGAAGGCAGCUUACUACACAGUUAUUGACGCUGAGGCACGAAAGCGUGGGGAUCAAACAGG